rnacentral:lncRNA from 1 species
ACCUGUUUAGACAUUACACAAUGUGUAUGUGCCUGAGAAUAUCCCAGGAACACUGUAAAGAUGGUGUUUAGGAUACACCACAAACAGGCAGUGUUUGCGGCCUCGUCUGUCAGUCAAAACAGCAUGCUUAUAUUCAAGCUAACACACAAACAACAAGCUUCCCAACGUAUAAAAAAAUCAAGCAGUAAUGUACAAAAGAUUUCCGAAUUUGAAAAAAAAUUAAAACCCGCAAAACCAGGAAUCUCAACAAACACAGGCAGAAAAACUGUUGGGGGGGAUGCAGAAGACCAGGACAUUCCAGGAAUCUCGUAAUUAUGCCGUCAAAAACGGCCGAGGAGAAAACAGAAUCUGCAGAGCAUCCGGGGAAAGACACUGACUGGCAAGGCAGGUGAUGGAGCUUCUUGGCAGAGACCUGACGCAAAAGUUAACAUGGAAAAGAGAAAAAAACAUGAAGAGUUGAGCCUCUACAAGCAGAAACAUCCUUCAAAACAAAGAUGAAAUAAAGAUAUUUCAAGCCGGCAAAAGCUGAGGAAUUUGUUAUCCCCCCCCCCCGAUUUAAAUACUAUCAAAAGUUCUUCCAGGCUUCAGAUCAAGCAAAGAGGAGCUAGAGUAUGAUAACUCCAUAGGCAAACACAGUCACAGACGUCCAAAACUCACACUCAGAUGCGUAUAAAUGCACAGUUAAAAACGAUUUUAAAGGCAGCCAUUCUGUAACGAACUCCAGAUGGCCGUUCACAACUGUGUGAGUCUUUCUCUGCUGUAUUGCUGGGGAGAGAGUGAUUCAAAGCAUAGGAACGCACAGUUCAUGAAGACUUGGGCAUAAAAAGGGUAAAUGUCCUACUCGUCAGAAGGUCAUUAUAAAAUGACUGUUCUUUGGUUGGGGAUAGAGUUCCUCGGAGAACCAUGUGAGGUGUGAGCACAUCCGCAAGGAUUACCACAGAAAUCUCAACCGUGCAACCAGAACAGGGUUCAGACAGAAGGCUGUUGAGAGGUUAAGGUGGCUUAUGACUGGAGGAUACUCUACAAAAUGUCUGAACUCAAGAAGUUCUCUGUGAGGGCCAGCAAAAAUAGCUCAAGAAAUAAAGAUACUUGCUGUAC